rnacentral:rRNA from 1 species
UCGCGGCCUAUCAGCUUGUUGGUGGGGUGACGGCCCACCAAGGCGACGACGGGUAGCUGGUCUGAGAGGAUGUCCAGCCACACUGGGACUGAGACACGGCCCAGACUCCUACGGGAGGCAGCAGUUAGGAAUCUUGCGCAAUGGGCGAAAGCCUGACGCAGCGACGCCGCGUGCGGGAUGAAUGCUUUCGGGUUGUAAACCGCUUUCAGCAGGGACGAAAUUGACGGUACCUGCAGAAGAAGCCCCGGCCAACUACGUGCCAGCAGCCGCGGUAAUACGUAGGGGGCGAGCGUUGUCCGGAUUUAUUGGGCGUAAAGAGCUCGUAGGCGGUUUGGCAAGUCGGAUGUGAAAUCUCCAGGCUCAACCUGGAGAGGUCAUUCGAAACUGCCAUGACUAGAGUUCGGUAGAGGAGUGUGGAAUUCCUGGUGGAGCGGUGAAAUGCGCAGAUAUCAGGAGGAACACCCGUAGCGAAGGCGGCACUCUGGGCUGAUACUGACGCUGAGGAGCGAAAGCGUGGGGAGCGAACAGGAUUAGAUACCCUGGUAGUCCACGCCGUAAACGUUGGGCACUAGGUGUGGGGUUCUAUCGACGGAUUCCGUGCCGUAGCUAACGCAUUAAGUGCCCCGCCUGGGGAGUACGGAAU